UCGUACAUAUUCACAUAACAUCAUGUGUCUACAUUGUACAUAUUUACAUAACAUCAUAGGUUUACAUAGUACAUAUUCUCAUAACAUCAUAGGUCUACAUUGUACAUAUUCGCAUAACAUCAUAUGUCUACAUUGUACAUAUUCACAUAACAUCAUAGGUCUACAUUAUACAUAUUCACAUUACAUCAUAGGUCUACAUCGUACAUAUUCACAUAACAACAUAGGUCUACAUUGUGCAUAUUCCCAUAACAUCAUAGGUCUGCAUUGUACAUAUUCACAAAACAUCAUAUGUCCACAUUGAACAUAUUCACAUAACAUCAUAGGUCUACAUUAUACAUAUUCACAUAACAUCAUAGGUCUACAUUAUACAUAUUCACAUAACAUCAUAAGUCUACAUUGUACAUAUUCCAAUAACAUCAUAGGUCUACAUUGUACAUAUUCACAUAACAUCAAAGGUCUACAUCGUACAUAUUCACAUAACAUCAUAUGUCUACAUUAUACAUAUUCACAUUACAUCAUAGGUCUACAUUGUACAUAUUCACAUAACAUCAUAGGUCUACAUUGUACAUAUUCUCAUAACAUCAUAGGUCUACAUUGUACAUAUUCACAUAACAUCAUAUGUCUACAUUGUACAUAUUCUAAUAACAUCAUAGGUCUACAUUAUACAUAUUCACAUGACAU